rnacentral:rRNA from 1 species
AGCGAACGCUGGCGGCAGGCCUAACACAUGCAAGUCGAACGAACUCUUCGGAGUUAGUGGCGGACGGGUGAGUAACACGUGGGAACGUGCCUUUAGGUUCGGAAUAACUCAGGGAAACUUGUGCUAAUACCGAAUGUGCCCUUCGGGGGAAAGAUUUAUCGCCUUUAGAGCGUCCCGCGUCUGAUUAGCAAGUUGGUGAGGUAACGGCUCACCAAGGCGACGAUCAGUAGCUGGUCUGAGAGGAUGACCAGCCACAAUGGGACUGAGACAGGACCCAGACGCCGACGGGAGGCAGCAGUGUGGAAUCUUGCGCGAUGGGCGAAAGCCUAACGCAGCCAUGCCGCGUGAAUGAUGAAGGUCUUAGGAUUGUAAAAUUCUUUCACCGGGGACGAUAAUGACGGUACCCGGAGAAGAAGCCCCGGCUAACUUCGUGCCAGCCGCCGCAGUAACAC